GCGAUCAUACCAGUACCAAUGCACCGGAUCCCAUCAAAACUUUGCAGUUAAGCGUGCUUGGGCGAGAGUAGUACUAGGAUAGGUCACCUCCCAGGAAGUCCUCGUGUUACACCCC